rnacentral:lncRNA from 1 species
GUGAUUGAAGACGCUAUUGAAGACGCUGUGGAAGCCUUUGAAAGUUAUACUGCUGAAGGAGCUGAUCUAGCUGAAGAAGUAACUGAAGAAAUGGCUGAAGAAAUAGCUGAAGCCAAAGUCGAAGUUCAAGAGAUAUCAAAAGAGAGCAGCGUCAUAAAAAAAUGUAUUGUAAAUGUCUCCACAGGCAUCAAAGAUUUGGGAAUAUUUAUGGCAAAGAAUGCAGCAAUUGGUGUAAUAUUGUGGGGUGUUAAUGUUACACUAGCAAAACUGUUCCCUAAAGGCCAAGGGCAGAGUGAAAAACAAAAAUGUGCCUUGAUAAAAGAAGUGAUCCAAGUGAUCAAAACUGAAAUAUGCAUAUCUAAAAGGAUGGCUAAAUGGUUAGAAGACCAUAAGGAAGAAACGGUCAUAUUGGAUGGCAUAGAAAUCCCUCUGGAAUCACUAAUUUCCACACACAUUAAGCCAGUAUCUGAUGCUAUUGACCAAGCAUACUCUGUGGCACAGUCACUACAAAACUCUGAUGGAAAUCCUUACAAAGUUCCAACUGCAGGAGACAUACAGAAGUUCCUCAUGGCGGCAGAUGCUUUCCUAAAUGCUUUCAACUUCCUGGUGGCAUUCAUCAAUGAAAACAUGCAGAAGUUUCAAGGUCUCUGCAGCUUCCCAGUGAAAAAAGAAGACAUUGACACUCUCAGAGAACUGAUAGAGAAUGUGAAGGCUGAAAAAAUGAACUGGUCUUAAUGUGCUCUUAACGGUUUCUUUCUUUCUUUCUUUCUUUCUUUUUGCAUUUGUAAAUAAAGACAGUGACUUCAGCUGUCAACUUUACAUGCAUCCUUAGCAGUAUGAAAACAAAGUAUCCGGCAAAUUGUGAAUUAAUUAUUUACAGAAAGUCAGCUAAGAACAGUCCUUUUGUAAUGUAAUAAUGAGAGCAUUUGUAAGAGUGCUCAAGUGAGCAUGUGCUGAAUAAAACCCUGGCAUUUUGAGAAAUACUGAGUGGAUUUCUGCUGUAGCGCUGAAUAUUU